CCUACGGGAGGCAGCAGUCGAGAAUCAUUCACAAUGGGGGAAACCCUGAUGGUGCGACGCCGCGUGGGGGAAUGAAGGUCUUCGGAUUGUAAACCCCUGUCAUGUGGGAGCAAAUUAAAAAGAUAGUACCACAAGAGGAAGAGACGGCUAACUCUGUGCCAGCAGCCGCGGUAAUACAGAGGUCUCAAGCGUUGUUCGGAAUCACUGGGCCUAAAGCGUGCGUAGGCUGUUUUGUAAGUCGUGUGUGAAAGGCGCGGGCUCAACCCGCGGACGGCACAUGAUACUGGGAGACUAGAGUAAUGGAGGGGGAACCGGAAUUCUCGGUGUAGCAGUGAAAUGCGUAGAUAUCGAGAGGAACACUCGAGGCGAAGGCGGGUUACUGGACAUUAACUGACGCUGAGGCACGAAGGCCAGGGGAGCGAAAGGGAUUAGAUACCCGUGUAGUC
rnacentral:rRNA from 1 species